UACGGAGGGUGCGAGCGUUAAUCGGAAUUACUGGGCGUAAAGCGCACGCAGGCGGUUUGUUAAGCUAGAUGUGAAAGCCCCGGGCUCAACCUGGGAUGGUCAUUUAGAACUGGCAGACUAGAGUCUUGGAGAGGGGAGUGGAAUUCCAGGUGUAGCGGUGAAAUGCGUAGAUAUCUGGAGGAACAUCAGUGGCGAAGGCGACUCCCUGGCCAAAGACUGACGCUCAUAUGCGAAAGUGUGGGUAGCGAACAGG
rnacentral:rRNA from 1 species